rnacentral:tRNA from 11 species
GGCGCCAUAGCCAAGUGGUAAGGCAGAGGACUGCAACUCCUCUAUCGUCAGUUCGAUUCUGACUGGCGCCUCCA